rnacentral:rRNA from 1 species
UUCGCCCUUAGAGUUUGAUCCUGGCUCAGGACGAACGCUGGCGGCGCGCCUAACACAUGCAAGUCGAACGAGCGAGAGAGAGCUUGCUUUCUCGAGCGAGUGGCGAACGGGUGAGUAACGCGUGAGGAACCUGCCUCAAAGAGGGGGACAACAGUUGGAAACGACUGCUAAUACCGCAUAAGCCCACAGCUCAGCAUCGAGCAGAGGGAAAAGGAGCAAUCCGCUUUGAGAUGGCCUCGCGUCCGAUUAGCUAGUUGGUGAGGUAAUGGCCCACCAAGGCGACGAUCGGUAGCCGGACUGAGAGGUUGAACGGCCACAUUGGGACUGAGACACGGCCCAGACUCCUACGGGAGGCAGCAGUGGGGAAUAUUGCACAAUGGGGGAAACCCUGAUGCAGCGACGCCGCGUGGAGGAAGAAGGUCUUCGGAUUGUAAACUCCUGUUGUUGAGGAAGAUAAUGACGGUACUCAACAAGGAAGUGACGGCUAACUACGUGCCAGCAGCCGCGGUAAAACGUAGGUCACAAGCGUUGUCCGGAAUUACUGGGUGUAAAGGGAGCGCAGGCGGGAAGACAAGUUGGAAGUGAAAUCCAUGGGCUCAACCCAUGAACUGCUUUCAAAACUGUUUUUCUUGAGUAGUGCAGAGGUAGGCGGAAUUCCCGGUGUAGCGGUGGAAUGCGUAGAUAUCGGGAGGAACACCAGUGGCGAAGGCGGCCUACUGGGCACCAACUGACGCUGAGGCUCGAAAGUGGGGGUAGCAAACAGGAUUAGAUACCCUGGUAGUCCACACUGUAAACGAUGAUUACUAGGUGUUGGAGGAUUGACCCCUUCAGUGCCGCAGUUAACACAAUAAGUAAUCCACCUGGGGAGUACGACCGCAAGGUUGAAACUCAAAGGAAUUGACGGGGGCCCGCACAAGCAGUGGAGUAUGUGGUUUAAUUCGACGCAACGCGAAGAACCUUACCAAGUCUUGACAUCCUGCGACGCACAUAGAAAUAUGUGUUUCCUUCGGGACGCAGAGACAGGUGGUGCAUGGUUGUCGUCAGCUCGUGUCGUGAGAUGUUGGGUUAAGUCCCGCAACGAGCGCAACCCUUAUGGUCAGUUACUACGCAAGAGGACUCUGGCCAGACUGCCGUUGACAAAACGGAGGAAGGUGGGGAUGACGUCAAAUCAUCAUGCCCUUUAUGACUUGGGCUACACACGUACUACAAUGGCGUUAAACAAAGAGAAGCAAGACCGCGAGGUGGAGCAAAACUCAGAAACAACGUCCCAGUUCGGACUGCAGGCUGCAACUCGCCUGCACGAAGUCGGAAUUGCUAGUAAUCGUGGAUCAGCAUGCCACGGUGAAUACGUUCCCGGGCCUUGCACACACCGCCCGUCA